CAACCCAAUCACCAUCUUUGAGAAGCUGAAGGCCACUGACUUUAUCGUCUUGAAACAACAAGAUGAGGCCUCCUGCAUCUGUGUGAGCCCUAAGCCCUUUGAUCAUCUCAGGAUUAGGACAUGGUGGAUAGUUGCUAACCUUUGUCCCAAAAGUUGGACCCUUCGUACCACGAAACACCUUCUUCAAGUAUCCUUUCUCCAACCCUAGAUUCUCACACAGCAAAUCCAACAGUUCUUCCGCUAGGUUCUCUAGCCUCUUCCCAAAAUCCUUCAUAGCCGUUCUGUGUUUUAAAGAAACAUGGCAAGCAAAUCAAUGGUUUAUUUUUAUAAGAUCGUUGGAGAUGUGAUUUAAGGGUGAAAGAAAUGUUUGUGUGUGUACCGGUAUUCGUCUGACAUGUUAGGGAUGUCAUAAAGAUUGGUCUGAGGGAGAUGAUGAAGGAAGAAAGUGCUUUCCCAAUCUAUAUCUUCCACUUCGGUCUCGAGAGUAUCUAAACCUUUGGAACGAAGCAUUUCCUUGAAUUUGUGUUCCAUAAAUUGCUUGUAGUGUUCCUUUGUCAUCCUCUCAAUGUUGUCCAUAAGAUCAUAUGGUAUUCCAUGGUUUAGCAGCUGAUAUUACAAAUAUCAAGAGUUAUAACGACCCAUUUUUAAAAAAAGUAUGAAAGGAAAAUGAUGUUUUCGAAGCUAGGUAUAUAAUAUUUAUUGCGUCAUUUCAUAGUUAAUAAUAACAAAUAUAUAUAUAUAUAUAUAUAAUUCAAGUUUUUCAUAUUUUAUACACCAACAAAGUUUGAGCAAAGAACAUCUAAGCUAUCAUCUCAGGAUUAGGACAUGGUGGAUAGUUGCUAACCUUUGUCCCAAAAGUUGGACCCUUCGUACCACGAAACACCUUCUUCAAGUAUCCUUUCUCCAACCCUAGAUUCUCACACAGCAAAUCCAACAGUUCUUCCGCUAGGUUCUCUAGCCUCUUCCCAAAAUCCUUCAUAGCCGUUCUGUGUUUUAAAGAAACAUGGCAAGCAAAUCAAUGGUUUAUUUUAAUAAGAUCGUUGGAGAUGUGAUUUAAGGGUGAAAGAAAUGUUUGUGUGUGUACCGGUAUUCGUCUGACAUGUUAGGGAUGUCAUAAAGAUUGGUCUGAGGGAGAUGAUGAAGGAAGAAAGUGCUUUCCCA
rnacentral:lncRNA from 1 species